rnacentral:tRNA from 1 species
CGGGACGUGGCCCAGCCUGGUUCAGGGCGCCUGCUCGGGAUGCAGGAGGUCGCGGGUUCGAAUCCCGCCGUUCCGA